AAAUACAUGGACGGACGUCAUGAUAAAAGUGACGUCAGGCUUCCCUUAGCUUGCGCCAAGGCCUGAAGUUUUACAAGUAAAAUAACUAUGAUAAAUUUACAUUAUAACUAGAAGAGGUCACGUUAUUAGUCGAAAUAAAUAUUUGUUGAACCGGGUAAAACUGGUCAGACCAGCGAGCAAUUCUGAGAAAUAGAGCGACCUCGGGAUACUUCACCGAGCGCGAAGAGUGGAAGGGAGAGUUGCACCAUCACUUUCUACAAGUUUAACAUUGUUGUUUCACGACAACAUACAAGUAAAAAUGUAUGAAUUUUCAAUACAUGUCGGGACUGCAAGCAACCCCUUCAACUGUAUGAUAAGAAUAUGGAUACUGAGUGCUUUCCCCUCAGCCACCACAGCAUCCGUCUCCCUGUCGCCCAUGCAGCCGAGUCGCACACCAGGAAGGAAAGGGAAGCGAACACGUCGUUUGCAUAGCUGGGUACCAAAUAUUCAAAUCCAUCCAGACACAAGUGGUGUCAUCCUUGACUUCACACGCAACGCCAGGAGUGAAACCGGAUGCAUACAAUCAAAGCAAAGAUAACGGAUUAGAUUUUCAUUGAAGAUAUGAGAUGGAAGGAAAGGAAAUACAUAUUACUGUACAUCCAUAUACAGUGUAUUCGGAAAGUAUUCAGACCCCUUGACUUUUUCCACAUUCUGUUACGUUACAGCCUUAUUCUAAAAAGUAUUUAAAAAAGUAUUUUUUUCCUGUUUUCACUUUGUCGUUAUGGGGUAUUGAUGAGAACAUUUAUUUUAAAAAUCAAUUUUAGA
rnacentral:lncRNA from 1 species